UGGACGGAGGCACUCUGAGCGAUGUCAUCAGCGAGACCCACCUGUCUGAAGACGAGAUGGCAGCCAUCAGUCGGGAGUGCCUGCAAGGCCUGGAUUUUCUUCACUCGAACCUCGUGAUCCACCGAGAUGUGAAGAGCAGCAACAUCCUUCUCAGAACCGACGGCUCUGUCAAGCUGGCUGACUCUGGCCUCUUUGUUC